rnacentral:rRNA from 1 species
GAAUUCGCCCUUAGAGUUUGAUCCUGGCUCAGGACGAACGCUGGCGGCGUGCCUAACACAUGCAAGUCGAACGGAACUUCUUUAAUUGAUUUCUUCGGAAUGAUUUUGAUUAAGUUUAGUGGCGGACGGGUGAGUAACGCGUGAGUAACCUGCCUCUAAGAGGGGAAUAACAUUCUGAAAAGAAUGCUAAUACCGCAUAAUAUAUAUUUAUCGCAUGGUAGAUAUAUCAAAGAUUUAUCGCUUAGAGAUGGACUCGCGUCCGAUUAGUUAGUUGGUGAGGUAACGGCUCACCAAGACCGCGAUCGGUAGCCGGACUGAGAGGUUGAACGGCCACAUUGGGACUGAGACACGGCCCAGACUCCUACGGGAGGCAGCAGUGGGGGAUAUUGCGCAAUGGGGGAAACCCUGACGCAGCAACGCCGCGUGAAGGAUGAAGGUCUUCGGAUUGUAAACUUCUUUUAUUAAGGACGAAGAAAGUGACGGUACUUAAUGAAUAAGCUCCGGCUAACUACGUGCCAGCAGCCGCGGUAAUACGUAGGGAGCAAGCGUUGUCCGGAUUUACUGGGUGUAAAGGGUGCGUAGGCGGCUUUGCAAGUCAGAUGUGAAAUCUAUGGGCUCAACCCAUAGCCUGCAUUUGAAACUGCAGAGCUUGAGUGAAGUAGAGGCAGGCGGAAUUCCCCGUGUAGCGGUGAAAUGCGUAGAGAUGGGGAGGAACACCAGUGGCGAAGGCGGCCUGCUGGGCUUUAACUGACGCUGAGGCACGAAAGCGUGGGUAGCAAACAGGAUUAGAUACCCUGGUAGUCCACGCUGUAAACGAUGAU